CCAAUCUUUCCGCCAAAGGAGAGG
rnacentral:siRNA from 1 species